rnacentral:rRNA from 1 species
AUUGAACGCUGGCGGCAGGCCUAACACAUGCACGUCGAACGAGAGGCGGACGGGUGAGUAAUGUCUGGGAAACUGCCUGAUGGAGGGGGAUAACAACUGGAAACUGUAGCUAAUACCGCAUACCAUCAGAUGGGCCCAGAUUGGUGUAGCUAGUUGGUGGGGUAAAGGCUCACCAAGGCGACGAUCCCUCGCUGGUCUGAGAGGAUGAACAGCCACACUGGAACUGAGACACGGUCCAUACUCCUAAGGUAGGCAGCAGUGGGGAAUAUUGCACAAUGGGCGAAAGCCUGAUGCAGCCAGGCCGCGUGUAUGAAGAAGGCCUUCGGGUUGUAAAGUACUUUCAGCGGGGAGGCGUUACCCGCAGAAGAAGCACCGGCUAACUCCGUGCCAGCAGCCGCGGUAAUUC